rnacentral:rRNA from 1 species
AAACGACUCUCGGCAACGGAUAUCUCGGCUCAUGCAUCGAUGAAGAACGUAGCAAAAUGCGAUACUUGGUGUGAAUUGCAGAAUCCCGUGAACCAUCGAGUUUUUGAACGCAAGUUGCGCCCGAAGCCAUUUGGUUGAGGGCACGUCUGCCUGGGCGUCACGCA